rnacentral:rRNA from 1 species
GAUGAACGCUAGCGGGAGGCCUAACACAUGCAAGCCGAGCGGUAGAUUACUUUCGGGUGAUUGAGAGCGGCGUACGGGUGCGGAACACGUGUGCAACCUGCCUUUAUCAGGGGGAUAGCCUUUCGAAAGGAAGAUUAAUACCCCAUAAUAUAUUAUUCGGCAUCGGGUGAUAUUGAAAACUACGGUGGAUAGAGAUGGGCACGCGCAAGAUUAGCUAGUUGGUGAGGUAACGGCUCACCAAGGCGACGAUCUUUAGGGGGCCUGAGAGGGUGAUCCCCCAAACUGGUACUGAGACACGGACCAGACUCCUACGGGAGGCAGCAGUGAGGAAUAUUGGACAAUGGGUGGAAGCCUGAUCCAGCCAGCCCGCGUGCAGGAAGACGGCCCUAUGGGUUGUAAACUGCUUUUAUCUGGGGAUAAACCUACUUACGUGUAAGUAGCUGAAGGUACCAGAAGAAUAAGCACCGGCUAACUCCGUG